AAGUGACGUGAUGGCAUACCAUCUUUCGGGGCUGACCUGAAAUGGAGAUAAAAAGCCUUCUGCUGAUCACUU